CUGACUCUCAGAGCAGGGAGCAGGAACGGACAUAGAGAAAUGCUCGCCGAAGCUCCAGCCGGAGUGGGCAUUCAUGGUGGGAGGGCCCCACAUGGCACUGUGAGGUGGGCACUAAGGCCACCUCCAUUUUACAGGCAGAAAACUACGGCUGGCUAUGUGGUUAAGCAAGACCUGCGCCAGGGUGCCAUCGUCACGCGAAGAUGAAGGAUGCAGCGCCGGAGCUGACCCUCACGGAGCACACUCCACAGUGGCCGAGGCGAGGGCAUGAGUGCCUGGGCUCUGCUCACCAGCUGGCUGCAGAUGGGCCUCAGUUUCCUCAUCAAAGGGAACACGUACAGCAUUCACCAGGAAAUCCUGAGGAGCAGGGCUUCAUCGAGGGUGCCAGUGAUAUGCAAAGAACCACACAGAUUCGAAGUGUAUGAUUUAAUUUUUAGCCUACAUCACGGAGGUACCAUUGAUCACACACUGGAGAUAAUAAACACACACUCUUCACCUCCAAGAGUCUCUUGUGGUCCAUUGCAAUCCCUUCCACCUGACCUCUUACACUCCAAGUUUUGGCAACUACUGACUUGCUUUCUUUUGGGGGUUGGUCAGAGCCCCUCCCCUCCCCCUCC